rnacentral:sRNA from 1 species
AUAUAUAUUUUUGUUUGUUUGUUCUUGUUUUGAGAUGGAGUUUCGCUCUUGUUGCCCAGGCUGUAGUGCAAUGGCCCGAUCUCAGCUCACUACAACCUCCGCCUUCUGGGUUCAAGCAAUUCUCCUGCUUCAGCCUCCCAAGUAGCUGGGAUUACAGGCAUGCGCCCCCACGCCCGGCUAAUUUUUUGUAUUUUUAGUAGAGAUAGGGUUUCUCCAUGUUGGUCAGGCUGGUCUCGAACUCCCGACCUCAAGUGAUCCACCCGCUUUUGGCCUCCCAAAGUGCUGGGAUUAUAGGCGUGAGCCCCCGCGCCCGGCCAUCCUAUAUUUUUUGACCAUCAUUUGAUAAAAUAAAUAAUUUAAACCUGCUGUUAGAAAAGUAACAACUGAAUAAAUAAUGCAAUAAUUAUACAGCUGGAUUAUUUUGUAUAAUUCACUUUCCUUAGGUUUUGCUUAAACAACUUGGUACAAGUCUAUUCCAAAAGGUACACAUGACUCAUACAGAGUAGACAUAUGUCACAUAUUUUAUUCGGCUCAUUAAUUAGCAAGGGAAUCUGUAUUUGAGGAAGUGUUCAAUAUUAGAAUAUUAGAAUAGGGAUUGCUAGGUUAGAUUACAAAACUAAUGUCUUACAGGGAAACCUCAUAUAACAUGAGCAUUUAUUUAAUAACACAGUGUUACAUUUUCCUAGAAUGGGCUUGUUAAAUAAUGCUUCUGUAUGAUAUUGAAAGGAUGUAGUUAUCUUGGCCUUUUCGUCAGGUUUUAGAUAAUUAUUUUUAACAUCGGAAAUUGUUUUAUAAUCAGUUAAGCCCUGUGAAUUUUUAUCUUGCCAAUUUUAAGUUCAUGAUGAUUUUUUAGAUACAGGUUCUCCCUCCCCCGCAAGCUCCUUGUGAAGUCCAAACCCACAUUUAGAAUUGACAGAACUGGGGUGUUCCAACUUUCAAAGUGGAAAGCUUCUAGGUUUGUCUUAGGUUUCUCCAGGAUAUUAAGGUGUUUGAGCUACUUAAGUUCUUAUUUUUUGGAACCAAAAGGUUGGAUGAAUUGGCUAAAAGUCAGUUUUGUCAUACUGGUUGUUUCAGGAAGAGAAAGGGAAUUUUCUUAUUUACUAUUUUGUGUCUCACUUAGCCUGAAAGCUUUAAUUCCUCAGAAUAGUCUUUAUGUCCGUGAAAGUAAGCCAUGUGUAAAAUUGUAAUUUUUAAAAUUUCAGUUUCCCAGUUCACUAUAAAUUUUUUUUUGUUCUUUUCUCCCUUGAAUGGCUUGGCUUAAAAUGUUUUCUUAUAAUAAAGAAAAAGCCUGCCUGUUCUGAGUGAAGCUCUACCUCACAACAGGAAGCUGGUGCUAAUUGGUAUUCUGCAGGAGGCUUCUUGCAGUGGUAUUGCAUAACUGCCCUUGACUUAGGAAGAUUUUCAUCCUGCAUAUCCUAAAUGGUUGACUUGCUCACAGUCAAAAAUGUCUAAGUACAUUUAGAUUUAGCUAAUGUAGAUUCAGAUUCUGAAUGUCUUUUAGAAUAUUUUGGGCUUUGGUAUAGACUCAAAAGAAUUUCACAUUUUUGGCUGGGCACAGUGGUUCACGCCUGUUAUUUCAGCACUUUGGGAGGCCGAGGCGGGCGGAUCACCUGAGGUCAGGAGUUCGAGACCAGCCUGACCAACAUGGUGAAACCUCGUCUCUACUAAUAUUACAAAAAUUAGCUGGGCAUGUUGGCAGGCGCCUAUAAUUUCUUUGGGAGGCUGAGGCAGGAGAAUCACUUGAACCCGGGAGGCGGAGGUUGCAGUGAGCCGAGUCGUGCCAUUGCAGUCCACCCAGCCUAGGCGACAGAGUGAAACUCCACCUCAAAAAAAAAAAAAAGUUAUUUUAAAAUAAAGAUUAACUAAUUUCCUUAUUGAAUGUGAGAUGAAUUGCUCUGAAAAGAUGUGUUUUUAAAACACAACAUAGCUUUGUUGUUGCUGUUAUUACGGAGUUUUGCUCUGUCGCCCAGGCUAGAGUGCAGUGGCGCAAUCUCAGCCCACUGCAACCUCUGCCUCCCGGGUUCAAGCACUUCUCUCCCUCAACCUCCCGAGUAGCUGGGAUUACAGGUGCCCACCACCACGCCCGGCUAAUUUGUUAUAUUUUUAGUAGAGACGGGUUUCACCAUCUUUGCCAGGCUGAUCUUGAGCUCCUGUCCUCAUGAUCUACUCACCUUGGCCUCUCAAAGUGCUGGGAUUAUAGGCGUGAGCCACCGUGCCCAGCUCAACGUGGCCUGUUUAACUUGAGUUUUACAUUUUUUAAAUUCCCCUUAGAGAAUGAUUUGAUCAGAUUAUUAAUUGCUCAUAUUUCAGAGAAAGCACGAGAAAAUAUAGUUGUGACAUCACUUUCUGUAAUUUUUUCUUUUUAGAGGAGGUUUUACAAGUUUUCAUUUGCAAUGAAAACACAAGCCUAAAUCUUACUUUUCCAAACUGGGCUUCUGAAUUAUAAUUUGUGAAUGCAAAUCAAGCAGUGGAAAAAUUAUCUUUAAGAAAAUAGCUUAUGUCGCUUUAAAAAAUAAAAUUAAUCCUUUCCUAAGCAUGCUUCCAUCUGUAUUGUCUAGGGAACAUCAAUUCAUUCAGCUCUGCGGGCUCCUUACUGUAUACAUAUAGUUAUGCAGCUUCAUAGAACAUGAGCUAUUGCCACAAUAAAAAUAAGUGGGAAGGAGCAGAGAAGCAGUUUGUCUUAUUUUACUCGGGAAAUGUUUAUGCAACUCUGAAAUGUGAGUUUAUUCUUCCCAAGCUUUUGUGCUUAGCUCUAAGGCAGGACUACCUAAUACCACUCUCACAGCCAGCCAUUUGAAAUUUGGGAUUCUGAGCAAUCUAAAGAGUAACUUGUCUCUGGAACUGACCUUUUGCUGACCGGGAGUCCUCAUAACUUGGGUUUUGUGUGGGUUGUUGUGUCUUUGGUGCCACUGCUGCUCAUUCAUUCAGCACCUCAGUGAUGCUGUUUUUCAUACUGUUCGAUUGGUCGGGGGUGUGAUGGGCGAAGCAGUCUAAUAUAAUUAAGCUAGUUAGGGUAAGGGACAGUACUGCUGAUGCUGAGUGAGCCUCAGUGAGUUUUAUUAAAGUUGUUUUCGUAAAUGAAAAAGGUUGUUUGCCUUUGUCCUAAGCUAACAAAGGUAGUUUAUUUGUGUAGUAUUUUUUAAAAAUCCCUUUUAAAUACUCUGAUGCGCUCUCCCCCUACAGAUGUUCAUUCUGGACAGAGUGGAAGGUGAUACUUGUUCCCUUAAUGAGUUUACCAUAACUGGAUCAACUUAUGCACCUAUUGGAGAAGUGCAUAAAGAUGAUAAACCAGUGAAAUGUCACCAGUAUGAUGGUCUGGUAGAAUUAGCAACAAUUUGUGCUCUUUGUAAUGACUCUGCUUUGGAUUACAAUGAGGCAAAGGGUGUGUAUGAAAAAGUUGGAGAAGCUACAGAGACUGCUCUCACUUGCCUAGUAGAGAAGAUGAAUGUAUUUGAUACCGAAUUGAAGGGUCUUUCUAAAAUAGAACGUGCAAAUGCCUGCAACUCAGUGAGUAUUUGAACCUGGUUUAUUGUUCAUGCUGCUUAUCUGUCGUACUAUAUAUACUUAGUGUCUGCACUGUCCUACUCUCUUAGAAAACUAAUUAUACCUUAUCUCCUCAAACUUACAGUAUUUCCUUCCCCAUAUUCACUCUCAG